CUGUAAUCCCAGCUACUGAGGAGGGUGAGACAGGAGAAUCCCUUGAACCCAGGAGGCGGAGGUUGCGGUGAGCCGAGAUCGCACCACAGCACUCCAGCAUGGAACAUGUGCCUUUUUUAGGUAACAAAUAUGUGUUCAGCAUUAUGUUCGUUGUCCCCUACCAAGCAAAAAAAAAAAGCUAAAGUACAGCGCUAAUCCUCAGAGAUUUUGCAUUC
rnacentral:lncRNA from 1 species